UCUAAAUUCAGAAACUAGUGUAAUAAAAAAACAAAUCCUAAUUCAAUUGGGUUUGAUACAGAAAAACCAUAAACUAGUCAAUUUUGGUUUGAAAAUCCAUAUAAACCCAAACAGAGGUACCAGUUGGCCAAAUUGAAUUAAGGCUGACAAGAAUAUAGUAGCAAAAUUAGUGAUUUUUAUGAUUGAGAAACUAUCUAUUCAUGAAUCACAACUAUUGACUCAACUGGAAAUUGUUGGACCAUUAUGCUCCAACUUGAAAAUUUUGGAAAUAGGUGAUUGUUAUGAUUGUGAUUUCAUCAAGAUCCAUAACGUCAAUUUUGUCUCUUUCAAAUACAUAGGAUCUCGAUCAUUCUUUAUCAAAGUUCAACAAUCUCAAACUGCUUGUGUUGAAACUCUCGGGCGUACUAGAAGAUGUUUCCCUACUUGAUAUUACUUCACUAAUAGAAGCAUCUCCAUAUUUACAAAAACUGCAUAUUGAACUUGAGUGGUGUACAAAGAUGAUCUCUAAAAAAAAAUUAUACGAAAGAAGUGUCCCAUCAACAUCUCAAAGAAGUCAAAUAUAAUGGUUACCAUUGGUGGUUUUGCUGAUAUGACACUUAUAACUUACCUUAUUGAAAAUAGUGUAGCGCUUGAAACAUUCAUAAUUAAUCCUUACAAAUAUGAUGCUCAAUAAGAGGACGGGCUCGACGACAACUAUCAGGAUAAAUUCCCAAACAAGUCAAGCUAGUGAUACUUUAGGGGUUGUUCGGUUACUGACUUGACUAGAGUCGUAGAUGAAGAAAUUAAUAUGUUGUUUUAUUAAGAUAUUAGUUAUGUAUUGGUUAAUAAUUUAUGUAUUAAAUUAUUGUAACAUGUUUCUGUACCCUCAAUCUUUAAGACUACAGUAACCUCACACAUAAAGUCAUCUUUCUUAUCCAAAAGAUAACAUGCAAUAAAUCACUGGAUAAUAUUCCUUCUACAGAUACAGGGAAAGCAAAAUUAAUAAUGAAGUGGAAACCACUUGAAGAUAAUUUUUAUACAGAAACCAAAGGGUGAAACUUUAGUCACAAAGAAACAAGCUAUCUUCCAAAUAAAA